GGGAAAGGACAGGGGUGCAGGCAAAGUCCAUUUCAGUAAGAUGAAGAAAAAUAAUAAGCAGGGAACACUUGGCAAACAACAAUAAAGCAUGAGGCACUGUGACAUUGGUUACAAUGAGUUUCAUUUUCUUGGUCUGUGAUCUUAAUCAUAGAACGAAAGAAAAUAGAACGAAAGAAAGUACAAGUAAAUUUCAUCAUAAAUGUUGUUAGUGUUUCUCCUAAGCGCAAUGAUGAGUUGCUAGCAAAACAAGAAGAGGAAAUUGCCCAUGAAAUUGAAUUGGGAGAGCUUGACACAGGGCGAGGGGUAAAUCAGAUUUUC
rnacentral:lncRNA from 1 species